GAUGAACGCUGGAGGCGUGCCUAAUACAUGCAAGUCGAGCGAACGGACGAGAAGCUUGCUUUUCUGAUGUUAGCGGCGGACGGGUGAGUAACACGUGGAUAACCUACCUAUAAGACUGGGAUAACUUCGGGAAACCGGAGCUAAUACCGGAUAAUAUUUUGAACCGCAUGGUUCAAAAGUGAAAGACGGUCUUGCUGUCACUUAUAGAUGGAUCCGCGCUGCAUUAGCUAGUUGGUAAGGUAACGGCUUACCAAGGCAACGAUGCAUAGCCGACCUGAGAGGGUGAUCGGCCACACUGGAACUGAGACACGGUCCAGACUCCUACGGGAGGCAGCAGUAGGGAAUCUUCCGCAAUGGGCGAAAGCCUGACGGAGCAACGCCGCGUGAGUGAUGAAGGUCUUCGGAUCGUAAAACUCUGUUAUUAGGGAAGAACAUAUGUGUAAGUAACUGUGCACAUCUUGACGGUACCUAAUCAGAAAGCCACGGCUAACUACGUG
rnacentral:rRNA from 1 species